rfam:Mycobacterium thermoresistibile ATCC 19527 contig48, whole genome shotgun sequence.
GGGGCUGAAAGGUUUCGACUUCGCGCGUCGAAUCAAGGGAAGCGUGCCGGUGCAGGCAAGAGACCACCGUAAGCGUCGUUGCAAACAGAUAAGCGCCGAUUCUCAUCAGCGCGACUACGCUCUCGCUGCAUAAGCGAAGCUAGUCUGUCAGACCGGGAGUGCCCUCGGCCCGGAUCCUGGCAUCAGCCAGAGGGAUCACCGGUGAGUCCGGUCGCGGGACUCAUCGGGACAUCACACAGCGACUGGGAUCGUCAUCUCGGCUUGUUCGCGUGACCGAGAGAUCCGAGUAACGACAUAGCGAACUGCGCACGGAGAAGCCUUGAGGAGGCGCCGUAGGACCCGGGUUCGAUUCCCGGCAGCUCCACCG